CGAUUAUUCGAGCCUUAGCGGUUUGAGUUUCACGCGCAUGCGUCUUCCUUCAAACCGUUCGCUCGACUUACCCGCCAGAAGGGGGAGGGGUGUGGCGGCAGUUAGUUCCCUACAGGAACAGUACCGCGCUCUGGGUUGUGAUGAGGUGUCCCUAGCCUAUUAUCCGCAGUCCUAGCAGACCUGAAAGUACAAGUGCUCCCCUCCCUCGCGCCGCCUAUACUCCUUUUCUCCCUACAGCCAUCCCGUGACAAACUGGGGGCUGCGGGACUGCAUACUUCCUGCACCCGAAGCCACCCCCGCGGCGCCGGGAGCAUGUCCAAGUCUUUCGUGCCGCCACUAACCUGCCGCCGUUGGGCCUAGGGCCCGGACCCCAGUCCCGUACCCCGCUUUUGCCCUAACGAACUCCCACCCUGCGACCCCAGCUGCCUCGCCCCGGGGUCGGCCGGCUGGGCGCUCGCACGAGAGGGGGGCGCCGGAUGCGCGUCUCGUCGCGCCUCGUGAGCGUAGGGUGGAGGCCUUCAGUUCGGCAAGAUUCCAGGGUCACCCCAUGUGCGCAUAUGGCCCGAGACUUGUGAUGUUCGUGAUUUCCGGCAGCACUGCGGAAACUGGGACCAUUCCCGUAGCCUUCCAGUCCUCCCCUUGUCUGAUGCCGGCUGUCCUCCCCACCUCGGCCUGGUGGACACAUGCAAUAAACACAGGGGUACCACAGCGAAGGCCUCUCUGAGUGCCACCAUGGGAAGAUGCAAGUAAAGCACGUUUUCGCCCCUACAAUGGUCUGGAAGUCGAUCCGGUUUUAACAGGUUUGAGAAAACUGGAGAGGACAUCAAUGGAACAGGGAGAAAAUGAUCCAAGAUAAGGUCCCACAGCACCACGGCAUCAGCUGCCUCCGGAUCGUGCUGAGGACCGGGGGACCCCACUUUGAAGCUGGAGACUGGAAGCAUAGCGACGGUGGCUCAGUGGUUAGAACCUGGGUACAGAGUCCCAAGCCCAUCCCAACCCGGUAAAACAUGGCUCGGCCCUUUCAGCUGCAUAAUUAUGGUUGUCUUGAAUAAGAACUCCUCCGACGCCUGGUGAGGGCUCCGAAACCAUUUAAACUGCUCAGUGUGAAUUCUGAUACGUACUUUUCCUAAGUGAGAUAGAAAAACAAAGGCGUCCCCACAGCCAGCCCAGCAUCGCCGCUGAGGGGAGGGGCUGGCGCUCCUGAUGGAGUGAGGUCAGCUGCUGGGGUGACCUGGGAAGGGGAUCCUAACCUCUUCGGUUCUCUCAGCGCAUCUCCUUUAGGCAGAAUGUGACAACCAUUGGUUUUGAACCUUCAGGGUAUUGGCCCUGAUUUUCCAAGCUUCAGCUGGGACACUCACUGUGGUUGAAUCCUUCGGCCAUGUGUUCAAAAUGUAUUGAUGACUAGUGUCAUUACUUACCUUUUAAAAUGUUUUAUUUAUUUAAUUUUGGAUCUGUUGGGUCUUCGUUGCUGCGCGUGGGCUUUCUCUAGUUGCGUCGAGCGGGGGCUACUCUUUGUUGAGGUGCGCCGGCUUCUCAUUGCAGUGGCUUUUCUUGUUGAGGAGCAUGGGCUCUAGGCGCAUGGGCCUCAGUAGUUGUGGCAUGUGGGUUCAGUAGUUGUGGCACGCGGGCUUAGUUACUCCACGGCAUAUGGGAUCUUCCCGGAGCAGGGAUCGAAUCCGUGUCCCCUGCAUUGGCAGGCAGAUUCUUAACCACUGCGCCACCAGGGAAGCCCCAUUUUAACCAUUUUUAAGUGUACAGUUCAGUGGUAUUAAGUACAUUUACAGUGUUGCGCAAAUAUUUCCACUCUCCAUCUCUAGAACUUUUUCAUCCUCUCCAACUGAAACUCUGUACCAUUUAAACACUUAACUCCCCAACCCUGCUCCUGCAGACCCUGGUAACCUCUAUUCUACUAUCUGUCUCUAGGAAUUUGCCUAUUCUAGUACCUGAUAUAAGUGGAAUCAUACAAUAAUUGUCCUUUUGUGUAUGGUUUAUUUAAGGUAACAUAAUGUUUUCAAGGUCUAUCCAUGUCCUCAGUUUCCUUCCUUUUAAAGCUGAAUAACGUUCUGUUGUAUGUAUAUAAUACAUUUUGCUUAUCCAUUAAUUCAUUAAUGGGUUGGUUCCACCUUUUAGCUAUUGUAAAUAGUGCUGCUUUGAACUUUGGUGUGCAACUAUGUUUGAUUUCCUGCUUUCCAUUGUUUCAGCCUGUAUGGAAAACAUUUUGGCAGUUCUUUAAAAAGUUAAACAUAGAAUUGCCAUAUGAUUUAGCAAUUCCAUUCCUAGAUAUGUACCUUAACUAUUUUACAUACCUCCCAGCAAUUCACACAGCUUCCAAGUCUUUCCUCAUCCUCACCAACACUUGCUAUUUUCUGGCUUUGUUUUUGUUUUUUGACAGUAGAUGUCCUAAAAAGUGUGAAACAGUAUCUCACUGUGGUUUUGAGAAAGUUUCUGGAAGGUGGCACUUAAACUGGGAUUUGACAGGUGAUAGGGCCUGGUUAGAAGAGAGUGAUUUGGCAGAGGGGAGGCUUUGAGGCUGGGAGACUCCAAGGCAGGAGUGGCAGCCCCAAGGCCAAAUGGGCAGGGAGGGGUUGCUUCUACCUGCAGAAGGAAACCACUGAAGGGUCAAGGUGCACAGUGGCACGAUCCAAUUUAUAUCCUUCAAAGAUUAUUCUUGCUUCUGUGCUGGGAAUAGUUUCAUAAGGAAUCCUCCUUCCUCCCCCCACCCCAUAUGACAUUCACCACACCCUGCCUUGUACCCAUGGGCAGCACUCUGGCCCAGGUUCCUUCAUCCCUCUGUCAUCUGAUGAAUGCAGUUGAUCUCCCUGGCUAUACUCUUGGCAUUUGUCUGGUCACCCUCACCACAGUCAGAAUGAUUUUUUUUCCUACCAACAGCUUUUCUGAGAUAUAAUUCACAUACCAUACAAUUUUUUUUAGUAUAUUCACAGAGUUGUCCAACCAUCACAUUCUAAGUUUAGAACAUUUUCAUCACCCCAUAAAGAAACCCCAUAACCAUUAUCCAGAGUCAUCUUUCAAAACUGCAAAUCAUAUCAUGUAACUCCCCUGCUUUAAAUCCUCAGUGGCUCUCACUGCACUUCAAGUUAAGUCCUUUCUUUGCUGUGGUCUUCAGGGUCCUGCAUGAUGUGAUGCUGUGUACCUCUCCAGCACCUCAUUACUUUUCCACCCCCUUUUUUACUCCCCAGCCACACUGACCUCCUUUCUGCUCUUUUCCACCUGUAGGCCUUUGCAGAUGGUGUCUUCUCUGCCUGGAGCUCUCUCCCCAAAUGCUCAUCCUCACUAGCUCCUUCUUCAGGUCUUUCUCUAUCAAAUUCCUCUAUUCAUUUCCUUCACAGUGUUUCUGCACUGUGAUUAUCUUAUUUAUUUAUUUAUUUAUUUAUUUAUUUUGCGGUACGCGGGCCUGUCACUGUUGUGGCCUCUCCCGUUGCGGAGCACAGGCUCCGGAAGCGCAGGCUCAGCGGCCAUGGCUCACGGGCCCAGCCGCUCCGCGGCACGCGGGAUCCUCUCGGACCGGGGCACGAACCCGCGUCCCCUGCACCGGCAGGCGGACUCCCAAACCACUGCGCCACCAGGGAAACCCUAUGUAAUUACUUUUUAUUGCCUGUUCCCCACACUAGAAUGUUGGUUAUAUUGCUAACACUGGAUGGAGUGCCUGGCAUGUAGUAGGCAUGAACAAGUUAAGUGUUGGAUGAGAGAUGGAUUAGGGAGAGGAGGCAGAAGGACAUGUGAAGGUCAGUGCACUGGAGUGAGUGAAGAUGGGGAGAGCUGCAGGCAGGCAGAAAGGAAGGGGCAUGUCAGUAGAUCCAUUUUAAACAUGUUAAAUUUGAAAUGCCUCCAAGAUAUCCAAGUGGAGAUGUCAUAUAAGCAGCUCGCGUUUUAUGAGUUUAAAGCUAAAAAGAGUAAUCUAAGCCGGAUGUAAAAUCUGGAUGUCACAGGAUACAGAUGAUAUUUAAAACCUUAGGAAUGAAUAAAGGGGCUGACCUUUGAGAAGAGGCUCUUAGAGAUUCCAACACAAGGUAUCACACACAUUACAGAUUGGGAGUUUGUAACAAUGAAAGAAUGAGUGAAUGAAUGGGAGAAAACAGCAAAGGAGGCUGAAAAGGAGUGGCCAGAAAGAUGGGCAAACCUGGGAAUCAUUAGGGUAACAAAGGAAAAAAAAGGACAGGGUUUCAGGUGAAACAGUGUGGUCAACAGCAUCAAAUUAUGGUGAGAGGACUCAGAAGAUAGAGGAAUGGAGGCCCCAGAAUUUAGGUCUCUGGUGCCUUUAGCAAGAGCAGUUUAGGUUGAGCAGAAAGGGUGGAAGCAAGACUAGAAAUGCAGAGAAGAUUGAGGGCAAAUGCAAUACCAGCCUACACUUCUUAGAACCUAAUAUAAUAAAUGUGUGUUGAUUUAAGCCACUAAAUUUGUGGUAAUUUUUUAUAGCAAUAUCAGGAAACUAAUACAGGGUUUAGUCCAGGAAAUAAAAAGGAUCGUUCAUUUUCUUGCAAAUUAAGAAGAAAAAUCAUAUGAUUACCAAAAUCCAUAAACACUCACUAGAUAGAAUUGAUGGAUAGAUCUCUAUCCCUAAUAAAAUCAUAAGUUAAAAAGGAAUAGAAGUAAAAUACUUAAAUAUGAAAAUACUAUUUAUCAAAACCCAAAAGUAUAAAGCAAACUAAAUGGAAAUAUCAAAGUCGUUUCCACUAAAAUCCAGAUCAAGACAAGGAUGCCCACUACUUCUUAAGACUGUGUUAAGAGAGUCUAGCUAUACCGUGCAAUUAGAGCUGGUUUAAAUGAUUUUAAAGUUCAGUUGGAAGAACAAAUGCCUGAGUAGAUCCCAGAAUACUGUGAAUAGAAGAAUGGUAGUGGAGUGGAACUGGCCAAGAAAAGGACAAGAAUUCGGAAAUAGCUGCAGAUAUAUGUUGGAUGGAAAAGGAGGUGAUUAAUUUGAUGACUGGUGCUGACAUUAUUGGCCAUGAUUAUGGGGAAAAGAAACACAAGCUGGACUCCAACCCAGUCUUUCUCAACUAGGGGGGAUUUUACCCCCAACAGACAUUUGGCAAUGUCUGGUGACAUUUUGGUUGUCACAACUGGGGGCUGCUAUUGCAUGUAGUGAGUAGAGGCCAGAGAUGCUGCUAAGCAUCCUACAAUGCACAGGAUAGUCCCCCACACCAAAGAAUUAUCUGACUCCAAAUGUCAGUAGUGCCGUGGUUUAGAAACCUUGCUCUGAAAUAACACAAAACACCAAAAUACUUUUCUGAUGUGUUAAAGAUUUCAUACUAAAUAUUUAAAUAUAAAACCAGAUAGCAGAAGAAAAAAGCAAGCAUAUUUAUAAUACUUUGGGGUGGAAAAUCCUCCCUAAGUCUGGAAACCAAAAAGCCAAAAAAACCACAAAAAAACAUACAUUUGACUGCACGCAAAUUUUUAGUUUUCCUAGUAGAAGAUAAAAUAUAUAAACAAAUGAUAGGCUGAGAAAAUAUUUAUAAAAUAUGUGAAAGACAAAAAUUCAAAAGCCCUAAGUCAAAAGUACCUACAAUUUCUAACACCAAUAAGAAAACAGGAUACGUAAAUGGUCUAAAGCUUAUGAAUAGGGGUUCAACCUAACAAGUGGUCAGAGAAAUGCAAAGUAAAGCAGCAGCAGGAUUGGCUAAAAUUAAAGAACUAUUUGUGUCCACAAUCCCUUAUCCCCAAUCCAAAAUUCAUAAAGUCCUGGAAACCAGAAAGAUGGUAAGUUUGAGGCCAGUUCAUUUAGCAGCAAGACUUAACCUGAGCUAAUAUGAGGCUCUUUGCAGCAUUGACUCAUCUUGCUUGGUGAGAAUAUUUCUUAUAUUCUGCUACAAAACCAUUAAUUAAUGAGUUUGAUUAGGAGAUACUGAUUCAGAGUCUGCUGGGAGUGUCAUAGAAUUUUCUAAAAUCCAAAAAAUUCUGCAUUCUGAAGCAUAUGUGAGGAUUUUGAAUAAGAGCUUAUAGAUCUGUAAUCUCCAGGGCUGGCAAGGAUGCAGAGUGAGAGAAGCAUGCACUGACUGAUUUUCAAAUAUUAAAACAACCUUGCAUCCCUGGGAUAAAUCCUACUUGGUCAUAAUGUGUUAUAUUUUUAUAUAAUGUUGUAUUUGAUUUGCUAAUAUUUUAUAAGGAUAUUUAAGUCUGUAUUCAUGAGGGCUAUUGGUCUGCAAUUUUCUUUUUGUAAUGACUUCAUAGGUUUCUGUCCUAGGUAAUGAUGGCCUCAGAAAAAGAGUUUCUUCAGUGUUCCUCACUACUCUGUUUUCUGCAAGUGUUUGUAUGAGAUUGGUGUUUAUUUCUACUUUAAUAAAAUUGACCAGUGAAAUCA